CCUACGGGAGGCAGCAGUGAGGAAUAUUGGUCAAUGGGCGAGAGCCUGAACCAGCCAAGUAGCGUGAAGGAUGACUGCCCUACGGGUUGUAAACUUCUUUUAUAUGGGAAUAAAAUGUUCCACGUGUGGGAUUUUGUAUGUACCAUAUGAAUAAGGAUCGGCUAACUCCGUGCCAGCAGCCGCGGUAAUACGGAGGAUCCGAGCGUUAUCCGGAUUUAUUGGGUUUAAAGGGAGCGUAGGUGGGUUGUUAAGUCAGUUGUUAAAGUUUGCGGCUCAACCGUAAAAUUGCAGUUGAAACUGGCAGUCUUGAGUACAGUAGAGGUAGGCGGAAUUCGUGGUGUAGCGGUGAAAUGCUUAGAUAUCACGAAGAACUCCGAUUGCGAAGGCAGCAUACUGGACUGCAACUGACACUGAUGCUCGAAAGUGUGGGUAUCGAACAGGAUUAGAUACCCCAGUAGUC
rnacentral:rRNA from 1 species